rnacentral:rRNA from 1 species
CAAUAGCGUAUAUUUAAGUUGCUGCAGUUAAAAAGCUCGUAGUUGGAUUUCGGGUGGGAAUGGCCGGUCCGCCGUUUCGGUGUGCACUUGCUACGCCCACCUUGCUGCCGGGGACGUGCUCUUGAGUUCACGCUCGGGACACGGUGUCGGCGAGGUUACUUUGAGUAAAUUAGAGUGUUCAAAGCAGGCCUACGCUCUGAAUACAUUAGCAUGGAAUAACACGAUAGGACUCUGGCCUAUCUUGUUGGUCUGUAGGACCGGAGUAAUGAUUAAGAGGGACAGUCGGGGGCAUUCGUAUUUCAUUGUCAGAGGUGAAAUUCUUGGAUUUAUGAAAGACGAACUACUGCGAAAGCAUUUGCCAAGGAUGUUUUCAUUAA